AUUGAACGCUGGCGGCAGGCCUAACACAUGCAAGUCGAGCGGAUGAAGGGAGCUUGCUCCUGGAUUCAGCGGCGGACGGGUGAGUAAUGCCUAGGAAUCUGCCUGGUAGUGGGGGAUAACGUCCGGAAACGGGCGCUAAUACCGCAUACGUCCUGAGGGAGAAAGUGGGGGAUCUUCGGACCUCACGCUAUCAGAUGAGCCUAGGUCGGAUUAGCUAGUUGGUGGGGUAAAGGCCUACCAAGGCGGCUAUCCGUAACUGGUCUGAGAGGAUGAUCAGUCACACUGGAACUGAGACACGGUCCAGACUCCUACGGGAGGCAGCAGUGGGGAAUAUUGGACAAUGGGCGAAAGCCUGAUCCAGCCAUGCCGCGUGUGUGAAGAAGGUCUUCGGAUUGUAAAGCACUUUAAGUUGGGAGGAAGGGCAGUAAGUUAAUACCUUGCUGUUUUGACGUUACCAACAGAAUAAGCACCGGCUAACUUCGUG
rnacentral:rRNA from 1 species